rnacentral:pre_miRNA from 1 species
UGUGUACUCCCUCCAUUCCAAAAUACUUGACUUCCAUUUGUCCAAAAAUGGAUGUACCUAUAUACUAAAACAUGUCUAGAUACAUAUAUAUUUUGACAAAUAGAAGGCAUGUAUUGUGCAAGGGAGGGAGUAGAAU